UCCCUCAUGGUCCAGUGGCUAAAAUUCUCCUCUCCUAGUGCAGGGGGCCCAGGUUCAAUCCCUGGUUAGGGAA
rnacentral:tRNA from 1 species